GUGAGGAAACGAGGAAAGGGAUUUUGCAGCUGCUCUUCAUCGACUGUUGGUUUGGAUCCACCCUGUGACGGGAGACGGCGUUUGAACGGUGCACACUACUGGAUCUCCGGUGGCCUGCCGGUGGCGCCAUCACUUCGAAAGGCUUUUCCAUCGACUAUGGAUGCUUCAAAUCAAAUCUCAUAACCGAGUCUCGUAGCUUUGAAAAAACCUGGAAAUACCUGGAAUUAUAGGACUACAUUAUCCCAAGCCCUUGCCAAGGGACCGACUAAUGGUGCCCAGGCACUGGAUCUGAAAGCUUUACAUUCCUCUUUACUUUUGAAUAUACCAACAGACCAAAAAAACAACAACAAAAAAAACGAUAGCUUUAGAACUAGCGAUAGAUUACGGCCAUCCGCCUGCCAUUGCACCAAACCUGCUGUGACCGCAAGGGUUGUGACCUUUCUGGCGCCCACUUCAAACGAACACUUGAAAAGAAGGACGCGGUCAGAGAGGGCU